rnacentral:rRNA from 1 species
AAUUGAAGAGUUUGAUCAUGGCUCAGAUUGAACGCUGGCGGCAGGCCUAACACAUGCAAGUCGAGCGGUAGCACAGAGAGCUUGCUCUCGGGUGACGAGCGGCGGACGGGUGAGUAAUGUCUGGGAAACUGCCUGAUGGAGGGGGAUAACUACUGGAAACGGUAGCUAAUACCGCAUAAUGUCGCAAGACCAAAGUGGGGGACCUUCGGGCCUCAUGCCAUCAGAUGUGCCCAGAUGGGAUUAGCUAGUAGGUGGGGUAACGGCUCACCUAGGCGACGAUCCCUAGCUGGUCUGAGAGGAUGACCAGCCACACUGGAACUGAGACACGGUCCAGACUCCUACGGGAGGCAGCAGUGGGGAAUAUUGCACAAUGGGCGCAAGCCUGAUGCAGCCAUGCCGCGUGUGUGAAGAAGGCCUUCGGGUUGUAAAGCACUUUCAGCGGGGAGGAAGGCGAUAAGGUUAAUAACCUUGUCGAUUGACGUUACCCGCAGAAGAAGCACCGGCUAACUCCGUGCCAGCAGCCGCGGUAAUACGGAGGGUGCAAGCGUUAAUCGGAAUUACUGGGCGUAAAGCGCACGCAGGCGGUCUGUCAAGUCGGAUGUGAAAUCCCCGGGCUUAACCUGGGAACUGCAUUCGAAACUGGCAGGCUAGAGUCUUGUAGAGGGGGGUAGAAUUCCAGGUGUAGCGGUGAAAUGCGUAGAGAUCUGGAGGAAUACCGGUGGCGAAGGCGGCCCCCUGGACAAAGACUGACGCUCAGGUGCGAAAGCGUGGGGAGCAAACAGGAUUAGAUACCCUGGUAGUCCACGCCGUAAACGAUGUCGAUUUGGAGGUUGUGCCCUUGAGGCGUGGCUUCCGGAGCUAACGCGUUAAAUCGACCGCCUGGGGAGUACGGCCGCAAGGUUAAAACUCAAAUGAAUUGACGGGGGCCCGCACAAGCGGUGGAGCAUGUGGUUUAAUUCGAUGCAACGCGAAGAACCUUACCUGGUCUUGACAUCCACAGAACUUUCCAGAGAUGGAUUGGUGCCUUCGGGAACUGUGAGACAGGUGCUGCAUGGCUGUCGUCAGCUCGUGUUGUGAAAUGUUGGGUUAAGUCCCGCAACGAGCGCAACCCUUAUCCUUUGUUGCCAGCGGUUCGGCCGGGAACUCAAAGGAGACUGCCAGUGAUAAACUGGAGGAAGGUGGGGAUGACGUCAAGUCAUCAUGGCCCUUACGACCAGGGCUACACACGUGCUACAAUGGCAUAUACAAAGAGAAGCGACCUCGCGAGAGCAAGCGGACCUCAUAAAGUAUGUCGUAGUCCGGAUUGGAGUCUGCAACUCGACUCCAUGAAGUCGGAAUCGCUAGUAAUCGUAGAUCAGAAUGCUACGGUGAAUACGUUCCCGGGCCUUGUACACACCGCCCGUCACACCAUGGGAGUGGGUUGCAAAAGAAGUAGGUAGCUUAACCUUCGGGAGGGCGCUUACCACUUUGUGAUUCAUGACUGGGGUGAAGUCGUAACAAGGUAACCGUAGGGGAACCUGCGGUUGGAUCACCUCCUUACCUUA